GGACAUGAGGGCGAUCUGGCUGUGACAUCUGUCACUCCACUGAACGCCAGGAUUGAUUUGGCUGGCUAAGCAAGUGUCCUCUUCUGCCCUCAUGGCUCCAUGUGUAUCCCUCCUGGUGUUGCGCACUCUGUCAAAGAGCACGACCACCCCUGAUAGAGGAGGACCGUUUCCUCUGUCAAGGGUAUACGAGUAGCUGCGCUCCCCUGGUAGAACCUCCAAACAAGCUCUCAAAAAGAUAUAAAAGGGUAGUAACUACGUGAAAAUGUUCACCACACUCACUUCCUAAAGU
rnacentral:snRNA from 1 species